AUAGUCCAUGACAGACGUGCACAGCAUAUGAUGUAUGCAUGAUUUCUGUUGAUUCGCCUGAAUCUCUCGCUCAUGGCGAUCUACAGAAAUCUCAUGAAAAUCUGAGAAAAAGCAGAGCUGCUCGCUCUUUGUCCCACUGCGCCGGUGAACUUCUGUAGCCACCCCAGGCCCGAGGCCUCACAAUACUAGCUGUCCUCAUUAGCAAAUAGUGCCUAGGAAUGAGUUCAACUUUAUUCAUCUACGUUUUAAAGGAUUUUUCUGAAGUUGCAGAGCAUUGUGCUCUCUCGGUACAGUGUUUGAACUUCAUGGCCUGAUGCAUGUGGAAAAAAAAAAUAUUACGCAGUCAGUCCUGUAGGAGCAUCAUCCUCUAUCAUAAUUAUCCAGAUGUGUAAAUGGACACUUACUAAUAUUAAACUGGUUUCAAAAUGCUAA